rnacentral:rRNA from 1 species
UAAUACGUAGGGGGCAAGCGUUGUCCGGAAUCAUUGGGCGUAAAGAGCGUGUAGGCGGCCCGAUAAGUCCGCUGUGAAAGUCCAGGGCUCAACCCUGGAAUGCCGGUGGAUACUGUCGGGCUCGAAUCCGGAAGAGGUGAGUGGAAUUCCUGGUGUAGCGGUGAAAUGCGCAGAUAUCAGGAGGAACACCAAUGGCGAAGGCAGCUCACUGGGACGGUAUUGACGCU